rnacentral:rRNA from 1 species
AGUGAACGCUGGCGGUAGGCCUAACACAUGCAAGUCGAACGGCAGCACAGUAAGAGCUUGCUCUUACGGGUGGCGAGUGGCGGACGGGUGAGGAAUACAUCGGCAUCUACUUUUUCGUGGGGGAUAACGUAGGGAAACUUACGCUAAUACCGCAUCCGACCUACGGGUGAAAGCAGGGGAUCUUCGGACCUUGCGCGAUUGAAUGAGCCGAUGUCGGAUUAGCUAGUUGGCGGGGUAAAGGCCCACCAAGGCGACGAUCCGUAGCUGGUCUGAGAGGAUGAUCAGCCACACUGGAACUGAGACACGGUCCAGACUCCUAAGGGAGGCAGCAGUGGGGAAUAUUGGACAAUGGGCGCAAGCCUGAUCCAGCCAUACCGCGUGGGUGAAGAAGGCCUUCGGGUUGUAAAGCCCUUUUGUUGGGAAAGAAAAGCAGCAGGUUAAUACCCCGCUGUUCUGACGGUACCCAAAGAAUAAGCACCGGCUAACUUCGUG